rnacentral:rRNA from 1 species
ACACGUGAUUCAGAGUUUGAUCCUGGCUCAGGAUGAACGCUGGCGGUAUGCUUAACACAUGCAAGUCGUACGAAGAUCUUCGAUCUUAGUGGCGGACGGGUGAGUAACACGUGAGAAUCUGCCCUUAGGAAGAGAAUAACAGCUGGAAACGGUUGCUAAUACUCUAUAUGCCGAGAGGUAAAAGGAUUUAUCCACCUUAGGAAGAGCUCGCGUCUGAUUAGCUUGUUGGUGAGGUAAUGGCUCACCAAGGCGACGAUCAGUAGCUGGUUUGAGAGGACGACCAGCCACACUGGGACUGAGACACGGCCCAG